rnacentral:rRNA from 1 species
AUUGAACGCUGGCGGAAUGCUUUACACAUGCAAGUCGAACGGUAGAGGGGGCAACCCCUCGAGAGUGGCGAACGGGUGAGUAAUAUAUCGGAACGUGCCCAGUCGUGGGGGAUAACGUAGCGAAAGUUACGCUGAUACCGCAUACGAUCUAAGGAUGAAAGCGGGGGAUCGCAAGACCUCGCGCGAUUGGAGCGGCCGAUAUCAGAUUAGGUAGUUGGUGGGGUAAAGGCUCACCAAGCCAACGAUCUGUAGCUGGUCUGAGAGGAUGAUCAGCCACACUGGGACUGAGACACGGCCCAGACUCCUACGGGAGGCAGCAGUGGGGAAUUUUGGACAAUGGACGCAAGUCUGAUUCAGCCAUUCCGCGUGCAGGAUGAAGACCCUCGGGUUGUAAACUGCUUUUGUACAGAACGAAAAGGCUCUGGUUAAUACCUAGGGCUCAUGACGGUACUGUAAGAAUAAGCACCGGCUAACUACGUGCCAGCCGCCGCCGUAA